rnacentral:tRNA from 2 species
GACGACGUUCAUGCAGGUCAGCUUGUGCCAGGUUGCAGACUGUAAAUCUGCCGGCUCAGCCUUCCCAGGUUCGAAUCCUGGCGCCGCCA